AGUGAACGCUGGCGGUAGGCCUAACACAUGCAAGUCGAACGGCAGCACAGGAGAGCGUGCUCUCUGGGUGGCGAGUGGCGGACGGGUGAGGAAUACAUCGGAAUAUACUCUGUCGUGGGGGAUAACGUAGGGAAACUUACGCUAAUACCGCAUACGACCUACGGGUGCAAGCAGGGGACCUUCGGGCCUUGCGCGAUUGAAUGAGCCGAUGUCGGAUUAGCUAGUUGGCGGGGGAAAGGCCCACCAAGGCGACGAUCCGUAGCUGGUCUGAGAGGAUGAUCGGCCACGCUGGAACUGAGACACGGUCCAGACUCCUACGGGAGGCAGCAGUGGGGAAUAUUGGACAAUGGGCACAAGCCUGAUCCAGCCAUACCGCGUGGGUGAAGAAGGCCUUCGGGUUGUAAAGCCCUUUUGUUGGGAAAGAAAUCCAGCUGGCUAAUACCCGGUUGGGAUGACGGUACCCAACGAAUAAGCACCGGCUAACUUCGUGCCAGCAGCCGCCGCAG
rnacentral:rRNA from 1 species